GUAAUAUUGUUUCCAGGCCGUGCCCCUUCUCUCUGCGUCUCCUCUUCUCUCGCCGCCGCCAUCCCUUGCCUGUGCCCUCGCCCCCUGCCGCGACAUCACCUCCCCUGUCGCUGCCGCAUCUCCUCCAAUGCCCCCUUCCCGUCGGCUCCGCCUCAUCGCCCCGUCACCCAUCCUUCUCCUCCGUCGUUAGGAAGAUGGAUAGGAACCCUAGAUGCUCCCCCCCCCCCCGCCCCCGACGCCUCCACCGACUGCCGCAGAUCCAGUACGAGGCAGGGAAGGACGUCGUCGCCCCGUCACUUAUGGCGGUGCCCGGGUCGGUCUUGGGCUAUGCAGCGGGGUCGCCAUGGAGGAAGGCUCGCUAUCCUGAGAAGUAGGAGCAAGGAGGUCGUGCAGCGGCAAAUGGGGGAGAGGUCGGCCGUGGAGGGAGGCUCGUCGGCCGGAGCAGCAGGAGCAACGAGGUCGAGGUGGUUUAGAGCUCAGGUUCUAGGACAAGGCCAACCUCAUGUAGUCGAUUAAGCGUGCUCGAGAGUCUGGAGCCCAAGGUCAGGAAGCGCGUUGAGGCGCUCCGAGAUAUCCAGAUAUGACAUGGUUUUGCUCCGUUUGUAAUUGGUAUCAUUGUAAAGAUUUUGUUUUGGCAUGAAUUUGUGGCAACGCGGAUCAUUAAUUGUCCCAAAGGGGGGUUUCUAUGAUUCUCCGUUGCAGCUUUAGGAGAAUGCAGAUGCAACAGACGAUGUGCCACCAUUGAGAAGAGGUUCCCCUGUCCUCGAUGCCACGGCGAAUAUGCCAUCACCUACAUGUGCACGCAGGCCGCCAUUGGUGCGUGGAUGGUCUACAAGUCCAUAUCCAAGUCGAAGUUGUGGAUGCUCAUGGACAUGGGGGGCAUGUGCUGGGAGGCAGAGAUGGGGCACAUGCCGCGACACCCCAAACAUAUUCAGCAUGAGCACCUAUGGGGACGAUGAUGCCAUGCACCUCGUCAUGGAGCUAUGUGAGGGCGGCGAGCUCUUCAACAAGAUCGUCACGCUGGCAGCCCCAAACCACUCUACUUUCCAGUGGCACCGACGACCACAACAGGAUGGAUCCAACUGCCAAGACUCAGAAGGCGGUCGACGUCGGCGGCCUGCUCCCAAGUUGCAGGUUCGGCAUUAUGGUCAACCAAUGGCUUGCCAGCUUGCUAAUUGGAGUCUUCUGAUUGUUGGUCACAUUUAGGUAUCACAGAUGACGAUCUUCGUGAAAUAGCAUAUGAAAUCCUUGUUGCUGCUGCUGGCGCUUCAGGGUAGGCCUGUGCAAUUCGCUGUGUCACAGUGUUUUAAUUAGAAGAACAUGGUUCCCAAUAUUAUCAUAUUACUUAACCUAUUUCUCCCGCUUAUAGGGGGCACAUAGUUCCAAAGAAGUAAACACAGAUUAAUGAGGAAACUUGGUCGUAGCUGAAAGUGCUGAAUCGCAAACUCACCGGCAAUCAGAUUUAGUUGGCUUGCUUGAAAUCUUGAGAGCCCAAUGUGGGGUGCCUUGUCUUACCUCUGUUCGUGUUUAGUAACUUGAAAGACAAAAUUGAAGGAAAUAUGUC